UACGUAGGGGGCUAGCGUUGUCCGGAAUCAUUGGGCGUAAAGCGCGUGUAGGCGGUCCGGUAAGUCCGCUGUGAAAGUCGGGGGCUCAACCCUCGAAUGCCGGUGGAUACUGUCGGGCUAGAGUGCGGAAGAGGCGAGUGGAAUUCCUGGUGUAGCGGUGAAAUGCGUAGAUAUCGGGAAGAACACCAACGGCGAAGGCACUCUGCUGGGCCGACACUGACACUAAGAGACGAAAGCUAGGGUAGCGAAUGGG
rnacentral:rRNA from 1 species